rnacentral:tRNA from 1 species
UAUCUUUUGAGUAUGCCUAGUACAUUUGCCUUCCAAGCAAAAGGAUUAAUAAAAUUUAAAAAAGAUAU